AAUCCCCAUUGGGGCCACAUUUAACACCAUGGGAAUCCCCUUGUAAUGAAGGUAAAAAAUUCUAAGGAAGUCCAAUGGAUUUUCUUUUUUAAACAUAAAAUCAAUUGAACAUUUCUAAUAUGAAUUUUCAGAAAGACACCAGAGAGCAAAUUAGAUAAAAUCACCCAGACGGAAAACACCGGAAGGCUUUGUCAAUUUCACCAACUUGUUUAAAUUUCAAACAGCGCAUUUUUCGCGCAUGCGCAGUUGUUUGAAUCCUGUGCUCAUUCAAGUAUAAUAGACGUCUGUAACAUGUGGUCGAUGACUGGAUUUUGACCAGUUUAAUUCAAACUUGAAAGGACCACUGUUGAAGACACGCACUAGGAUUAAUAUUAAUAGGCUGUUUGGAAAUUGCAACGUAAUUCCAAGGCAUCACUAAUAAGAUGAAGACCGUGAUUGUCUUUGUGCUUUUACUAGCAGUUGGGAUAGACUGCAAUCUGGAAAAAUUGGGGCCAACCUACCUAUCAAGCUUAUGUCCGGGAGAUUUGGAGUGGUCCUACUGCGGUACCGCGUGUCCGCUGGUUUGCGGGAAAAAAAGAGCAAAUCCGCUGCAUCCAGAUGUGUGCCAUUGGCUGUGCUUGUCCCCGGGACAAGAAAAUCCGGAUCAGCAAGACCAGCACCCAAUGUGUGAAGAGUAGGGAGGAAUGUCCGCAGUGAAACGACAAUCACUAUUAUCUCAAUAUUCUGUCAACAAGUAUGAUUUCA